GUCGGCUCCCUUUCUCCCUCAAAACUCUCUCUCUCUCUCUCUACUGUAAAUUCAAACAAAGAACACACACACACACACACACCACAUUUCGUCUCUCUUUCUCACUCGAUUUCUCUCACAAAGUGAAAAUAACAAGAUCCCCAAAUUCAAUUCUCUCUCUCUAUCCCACAGCACCUCGGCACUUCUAUUCUCCACUGUUCACAGAUCAGCCGCUACCGGCUCCAAUUCGCCGCCCGACGUACACCGUCGUUGGGUUCGUACCGCCGUUGCCGCCGCGCUGUUGUCUGCCGAGACCGCGCCUGCUCCGGCAGCCGCGAAUCCACCCUGAACCAGCCCCGUUUUCCCAUUAAAGAUUUCAUGAGAUGCACAAGAAUGAAAUAAGAAUGGGGUGGAAGAAGGGUAUACUUUCAAUUUGCAGAUUUGCAACUGAACAAAACAGGAACUCUCUCACUUUAGUUCUCGGUUUCUGACAGGAAGAAUGAAUGAGUUGAUUUUCCAAAACAUUGUAGAAUAGCAGGCGAGGAAAUUCUGUGUAUGGGAUUACCUUGAAUCUGUUUCGAUUGAGAUAAGAAGAAUGUCAGCCUUGUUCUUGAAAUUUAUUGCUGAUUUUAGUGGAGCAACUUGUGGGGAUGGAACUUGAUUGCGAAUGAAAUUUUAUGGAGGAGUGGCGGUAGAAAAAGAGGAGAUUAGGGUUGUUAGUAUGGAAAGAGGUGUGUGAUUUGGGAGAGAUUUACGGAGUGGGGAGAGAUGACGGUUUCAAUCGUGAGUUGAGGGGAGUGAAAUUCAAAUUUUUUCUUUUUUUUUGAUUCACGGAGGAGGAAUAUCUCUGCAGAAUCUUUAUUUAAUAUUUGAAUUAAUGCAGCUUGGUGACCACGUCAACAGGUCAGAACUAAUUAGAUAAGUUUAAUUCACGGUCCUUUGUAUUUUAUUUAAAUUGUGCGGCCCACAAUUUAUUCUCCACCAGACAGGAUUUUUGUAUUAUCUAUUCAAUUUAUCGGAUCCAACACGAAAUUGAGUCUAAUAAAUAUUCCUCACGGAAAGGAAUUAUUUAAA